rnacentral:rRNA from 1 species
UACAGAGGCUGCAAGCGUUAUUCGGAUUCACUGGGCGUAAAGGGUGCGCAGGCGGCCAAGUGUGUUAGGCGUGAAAGCCCGGGGCUUAACCCCGGAAUUGCACCUAAAACUACAUGGCUAGAGCAUUGGAGAGGGUAGCGGAAUUCACGGUGUAGCAGUGAAAUGCGUAGAUAUCUGGAAGAACACCAAAGGCGAGGGCAGUGUCCUGGGUGGUCGCUGACGCUGAGAGGCGAAAGCCAGGGGAGCGAACGGG